rnacentral:rRNA from 1 species
CGGUACGAGAGUUGGGUUCAGAACGUCGUGAGACAGUUCGGUCCCUAUCUGUUGUGGGCGCAGGAGAUUUGAGGGGAGCUGUCCUUAGUACGAGAGGACCGGGAUGGACGGACCUCUGGUGUACCGGUUGUUCUGCCAAGGGCAAUGCCUAGUAGCUAUGUCCGGAAUGGAUAACCGCUGAAAGCAUCUAAGCGGGAAGCCGACCCCAAGAUAAGGUCUCCCCUGCCGAGAAAUCGGCACUGAAGGUCUGUGGUAGACUA